GAUGAACGCUGGCGGCGUGCCUAAUACAUGCAAGUCGAGCGAACGGACGAGAAGCUUGCGUCUCUGAUGUUAGCGGCGGACGGGUGAGUAACACGUGGAUAACCUACCUAUAAGACUGGGAUAACUUCGGAAAACCGGAGCUAAUACCGGAUAAUAUUUUGAACCGCAUGGUUCAAAAGUGAAAGACGGUCUUGCUGUCACUUAUAGAUGGAUCCGCGCUGCAUUAGCUAGUUGGUAAGGUAACGGCUUACCAAGGCAACGAUGCAUAGCCGACCUGAGAGGGUGAUCGGCCACACUGGAACUGAGACACGGUCCAGACUCCUACGGGAGGCAGCAGUAGGGAAUCUUCCGCAAUGGGCGAAAGCCUGACGGAGCAACGCCGCGUGAGUGAUGAAGGUCUUCGGAUCGUAAAACUCUGUUAUUAGGGAAGAACAUAUGUGUAAGUAACUGUGCACAUCUUGACGGUACCUAAUCAGAAAGCCACGGCUAACUACGUG
rnacentral:rRNA from 1 species